rnacentral:rRNA from 2 species
ACGGGUGCGUAACGCGUGGGAAUCUGCCCUUGGGUUCGGAAUAACAGUUAGAAAUGACUGCUAAUACCGGAUGAUGUCUUCGGACCAAAGAUUUAUCGCCCAAGGAUGAGCCCGCGUAAGAUUAGCUAGUUGGUGGGGUAAUGGCCCACCAAGGCGACGAUCUUUAGCUGGUCUGAGAGGAUGAUCAGCCACACUGGGACUGAGACACGGCCCAGACUCCUACGGGAGGCAGCAGUGGGGAAUAUUGGACAAUGGGCGAAAGCCUGAUCCAGCAAUGCCGCGUGAGUGAUGAAGGCCUUAGGGUUGUAAAGCUCUUUUACCAGGGAUGAUAAUGACAGUACCUGGAGAAUAAGCUCCGGCUAACUCCGUGCCAGCAGCCGCGGUAAUACGGAGGGAGCUAGCGUUGUUCGGAAUUACUGGGCGUAAAGCGUACGUAGGCGGUUAUUCAAGUCAGAGGUGAAAGCCCGGGGCUCAACCCCGGAACGGCCUUUGAAACUAGGUAGCUAGAGUCUUGGAGAGGUUAGUGGAAUUCCGAGUGUAGAGGUGAAAUUCGUAGA